rnacentral:snoRNA from 1 species
ACAGACUCACUCUGUACUUGGCUGCGGCCCCAGUCAGGUAUUUCUUUUUUCAUCUGCCAGAGAGAUAUUGCUGUGGCCACCUGACCUGCUGAGGGUGAUGCAGCUUCCCAGGGGA